rnacentral:tRNA from 1 species
GGGCUCAUAGCUCAGUUGGUUAGAGCGCACCCCUGAUAAGGGUGAGGUCACAAGUUCGAAUCUCGUUGGGCCCACCA